UGCGGAUGCUAACGCAAUGUGA
rnacentral:snRNA from 1 species